CACUUUGUUGUUCGCUUUCCCAAGAAAUCCCCUGCUUGCACCCACAUCCCGUCUUCUUCUUUCUCUGUAUCAUUAUAAUAAUCAAUCCCAAGAUCUCCCACCUCUUUCAUCUGCACUAUUGGUUUUGAUUUUCUCUGUAUCUUACACUGCACCAAGCACUCUGUUUUCUUUUUGAUUUGAUCAUUUUUGGGUCUCUGCGACGCCAUGGUUGCCGAUGGCAAGUCCAAAUCUGAUAUCUCCUUCGCUGGAACUUUUGCCAGCAGUGCUUUCGCUGCAUGUUUUGCUGAGAUAUGUACAAUCCCGUUGGACACUGCUAAAGUAAGGCUCCAGAUCCAAAAACAAGCAGUCGCUGGUGAAGCAGUGACCUUACCUAAAUAUAGGGGUUUGCUGGGUACAGUUGGUACCAUUGCCAGGGAAGAAGGUCUUUCUGCUCUCUGGAAGGGCAUUGUGCCAGGACUACAUCGUCAAUGUGUGUAUGGAGGUUUAAGAAUUGGGUUAUAUGAGCCUGUCAAGAAUUUCUAUGUUGGAAAGGAUUUCGUAGGAGAUGUUCCAUUGUCAAAGAAAAUUCUUGCCGCCCUUACCACUGGUGCUGUGGCAAUUACAAUAGCAAAUCCAACCGACCUUGUAAAGGUUAGACUUCAAGCUGAAGGAAAAUUACCUCCCGGUGUGCCCAGACGGUACUCUGGAUCUUUAAAUGCUUAUUCCACGAUUGUGAGACAGGAAGGAAUUGGGGCUCUUUGGACCGGUCUCGGCCCCAAUGUUGCAAGAAAUGCUAUUAUUAAUGCUGCAGAACUAGCCAGCUAUGAUCAAGUGAAACAGACCAUUUUGAAAAUUCCAGGCUUCACCGACAAUGUGGUAACUCAUCUACUUGCUGGGCUAGGGGCAGGAUUUUUCGCUGUCUGCAUUGGCUCCCCAGUUGAUGUGGUCAAAUCCAGAAUGAUGGGCGAUUCAACCUACAAAAGUACCCUUGAUUGUUUCGUCAAAACUUUGAAGAAUGAUGUAUGCUUUCUUUUUGCUUACACCACAUGAUUCACUUAGGGACCUCUUGCCUUUUAUAAGGGGUUUAUCCCCAAUUUCGGACGGCUAGGAUCAUGGAAUGUGAUCAUGUUUCUCACCUUAGAACAGGCUAAGAAGGUCGCCAAAAAAAUAGAGUCAUCCUGAACGCGACCAAAUGUAAGUUGGAUUAUCUGAGAAGGACUGGCAGCAAAUAGAUCGAUAUUGUUGAGAAAAUAGGGAGCACAUUCGGAGGGAUGAGCACUGCGUGCUCAGCAUCUCUGAACAAAUCUGGACCAUUCAAAUUUAAUCUGGACCGGACGGUCCAGCUUAAAUUACGUUUUUUAUUUUUAAAUAAAAAUUUAUGAAAUUUUUAAUAAAUAUGUUUAUUAUUAACAUAUUCCGUCUAUAUUUAAUCCGAUGAGUUUAAAUUUAAUAUUAAUUUUUUUAUAAUUUUUUACAAAUUGAUCGUAUAGAUUUAGUUUGUAUUAUUCAGAUUCAAAAUUUUUAACUUGUUAUAUUAUUAGAUUCAAAACAUUCAGAGUAAAUCUGUUUCCUCAAUUUAUAAAAAAUUAUAAACAAAUUAAUAUUAAAUUUAGACUCAUCUAAUUAAAUAUAGACGGUAUGUGUUAAUAAUAAAUAUAAUUAUUAAAAAUUUUAUAAAUUUUUAUUUUAAAAAUAAAAAAAUAAUUUAAUAUGGACCGUCCAGAUUUUCAAAGUGGUUCAAGGAUGAAAUCACCCUUGAUGAGCACCGAACGUGCUCCCAAGAAAAUAAUGGUCCAUUCUCUCCAUCUAGUCAGGGAUAGAUUUUUACUCUUUUUUUUUUCUGCCGGGAAUAAUAGUAAUUAGAUCUAUGUGUACUAAGGAUUUUUUAAUUGCAAUCUAUUCUGUGAGGUUGCAUUCUGAAUCGCUGAUUUUAUGCUUGCUUCAAUUCAUCAGUUGUCAUCACCAUGGUAAACUGUAUCAUUGAUUCAUCCAUGAGGGCAAAUCUAAAAUUUUAGUUUAAGAAUUCUGGAUU